UGGAGUUGGGAUAACCUGUGCUGGGGACAGGCUGGAGUUGGGAUAAGACACGGCUGGGGACACUGAGUUGGGAUAUAAUCUGGACGGGACAGCCGGAGUGGGAAUACCCGGACUGAAGGAACGGCUGGAGUUGGGAUAACCUGGGCUGGGGACACGGGGACAGUGGUGGCUCUGCAGCCCAGGCCGGGCCGUGUCUGUGUCCGUGUCCCCUCCAUGGUGUCCCCGUGCCCGAGCAGGCGAGGACAAGGACUACACCAUCUGGCUGGCUCACUCCAGCGACCCCAGUGCUCCCAGUGAUGGCUGCGUGCUGGGCUACAAGGAGCAGUUCCGGCGCCUGCGCAAGGCCUCGCUCUGCCGCAACGGGCGCGGCUUCAGCGCCAGCCCCCAGCGCUCCGUGUGCCCCUGCACCCUGCAGGACUUCCUGUGUGAUUUCGGGUACUACCGCCCGGAGAACCAAUCCCCAUUCCCUUCCCAUCCCACGGGAUCCCAUCCCAUUCCCUGUUCCCACAGGAUGGAUCCCAUCCCAUUCCC
rnacentral:lncRNA from 1 species